rnacentral:snRNA from 1 species
GUCUCUUCGGAGACAUCCGAUAAAAUUGGAACAAUACAAAGACAAUUAGCAUUGGCCCCUGUGCAAGGAUGACAAACACAAAUCGAGAAAUGGUCCAAAUUUUA